ACUGAAUAGAUACCCGGGUAGUCCACGCCCUAAACGAUGUCAACUAGGUGUUGGAGGAGCAAUCUUUCAGUACCGCAGCUAAACGCGUGAAGUUGACCGCCUGGGAAGUACGGUCGCAAGAUUAAAACUCAAAGGAAUUGACGGGGACCCGCACAAGCGGUGGAUGAUGUGGAUUAAUUCGAUGCAACGCGAAAACCUUACCUACCCUUGACAUGUCUGGAAUCCUGCUGAAAGGCGGGAGUGCCCGAAAGGGAACCGGAACACAGGUGCUGCAUGGCUGUCGUCAGCUCGUGUCGUGAGAUGUUGGGUUAAGUCCCGCAACGAGCGCAACCCUUGUCCUUAGUUGCUACGCAAGGGCACUCUAAGGAGACUGCCGGUGACAAACCGGAGGAAGGUGGGGAUGACGUCAAGUCCUCAUGGCCCUUAUGGGUAGGGCUUCACACGUCAUACAAUGGUCGGUACAGAGGGUUGCCAACCGU
rnacentral:rRNA from 1 species